rnacentral:misc_RNA from 1 species
GCUGCGGCAAAAUCCGUAGCCGGAAUUGGCGUUCCGAACCCUUU